UUGAGAGAAGAUUGUUUCUGGUGAGAAGAUAAAAGAGCUUCCUUAAAAAAAUAUGGAAACACAGGAGGAUUGCUCGAUUCGAAGGGGCCAACUGGUGCAACGAUAUCCAAAUGAUUAUAAAAACGACGGACAUGCUCCACUUUCAAUGAUGAUGAGCCAAGCACAGUAUAUGAAUACUGGAAGAGCUACUGUGCGCAUAGCAGUAUACCUAAUGACCGGAAUAUUUGUAACAAUGGAAGUUGAGCAAAGUUCGACCGCACAACAAAUUUUAACUAUAGUACAAACGGAAGGAGAAUUAGGAUUGGCAAGAGCUCCGCCUUUAAUCGGACAGCCAGUAUUUGCUUUAUGGCUAUGCUCAUCUCAAUUGGAGAUUCAAUUAAGACCAAAUCACAAGCCAAUAGAAUUAGCCGCCAAAUGGAACCGUUUAGUUAAAAAAUAUGGUUCGCAAAGAGAUGGAACCGACGAGGAACCUUUAUUAUAUUUUCGUAGGAAUGUGUUUCUUUCUAGAUACGACGAAGAGCAAAUAAAGGAGGCUAAAGUACUUGAACUGUUGUAUGCAGAAGCAAGGCAUAAUGUUUUACAAGGUAGAUAUCCAUGCGAAGGGCAAGCACGAUAUGCAAGCUUAGGAGCAUUACAAGCACGUAUUGAAAUAGGCCCGUAUAACUCACAAACACACACAUUGGCAUUUUUUAGAAGGCACCGAGGAAAAUUUUUACCACAUCAUUACACAUCACCGAGUCUUUUAUUAGGAUUAGGACUUGGAUUAGGUUUGGUGGGAGGUAAAGGAGCACCAGAAGCACGCCUUUUGGAACAAUAUAAACGAAUACCUAAUCAUACUGGGGCGAAUACAAAUCCAAGAAAACUUAUUAGGAAGUAUCUUGAAUUUUGUUGGGGUCUACCUUGUUAUGGUGCUGCCUUCUUUCAAGGACAAAUUGAACGUCCUGUGAGAGGACUAGCAUCAUGGAUUACGAAUCGUGACCUACAAGUUUUGAUUGCUAUUAAUACCUCGGGAGUAUACAUCGUUGAUGAUAUGCAAUGUAGUCUUCUAUUAGGAUUGAAAUACUCGGAAUUAAGUUGGGAAAUGGCAAAACCUUCUGACGAAAGAAACCCCGAUUGUCUGCCCUGUUUGUUUCUACAAUUUCCUGUUAGAGAAAAUGGUGCACGCGUUUAUAAAAUUCUACAAGUAUUCUCGAGACAAGCAAUAAUGAUGGACACUUUAAUUUCUGGUUUUGCCGAGGAAAAUCGCAAUCACAGUUCUCACAAUGAUGGUACAAAUAGCGAACGUCAAUUGGAUCAUUCUGCAACUACUACCUACAGUACUGGUAGUUUCACGAAUAAACUUAGCAAAUUUACUUUGGCAACGUUUGAUGAUGAAGGUCGAUGCAUCGGGCAAAUGGGUUCUUGGUCUUUCCAAUAGUCUUCACUUUGAAAUAAUGCGACAAGUGACACAUACGCACGCAUGCCGGAGCAGCCACGUGCGCACGCAUCCACGCACGCACGACGCACGCACGACGCACGCACGCACACGAAAAGACAAAGUAACAUUUAUCUAUAUAAAUAUAAAAGUUCCUUAUUGUUUUUAACUUACUGUUAAUAUAAUUACUGUUACUUGUAGAGACUGGAAAGGCGUUCGUCUUCCUGUAAAAGCUCUACUAGCAUUUUAUAUCGUAUAGGAACUAAAUUCUUAUGACGUUCUAACUUUAUAUCCAACAACUGCAGAUUAAAGAUAUGCUUGAGCUUUACUUAUCUGCUUUGGAUUUCCUAUUCGUGCCAAGUAUGGAGCCAAGUGAUCAGGAGGUUUUGCAAUGUCUUGCGAAGAAGAUACCGUUGUUGUAGCCUGCAUAAAAUUUAGAUGAGUAUUUUUUAUAUACCAAUAAUAUAUGAGACAUAUUGAUGGGAAUACCUUUAUGGAUUUUCUCGUAUCAAUUCUAUUUCUGUCGAACGAAGAAAUCAUUAAAUUUGGACUUAAAUAUUCGCUCGUUCGUCUUUUUAUAAAUAAAGAAAUUUCACUUUCGGCAUCUCUGAUAUUAGAUACACAUUGGUCUUCCUCCUUUAAUAAUUUUUCUAUUUCAUAAAAUAGAUGUAAGCUUUUUUCAGGCGGUGACAUAAUAUCCGACUGCACAACAAAAAAAUGAAUAGUACCAAUUUUAUUAGCGAUUAUUGAAAAGAAUAUGAUUUGGGGAGCGAUCGUUAACGUAAACGUUAACGUUAAAGAUAAUAAUUACGUUGUACUCUUGAAUGAUAGCGGUAUGAAUAUUAAGAUGUUCUCCUGUUUCUGGCUUCUUAUAUACCCGUAUAGCUCUUGUGAUUCUUUCAUCUUCAUAAUGAAAUUUCAGAUGUAUCUCUUUUUCCGUUAAAACAAAUUCACGUACAGCAAUAUCUCUAGAUGCCGGUAGUACUUCAUUUCUAUGAUAUUUUUCAGUUAUCGUCUAAACAAAUAAAUGUUUAAGUAGAUCAUUUUUCAAGAACAUAUUAUUAUCCAUUAUCAGACAUAAAAACUUACUUGAAUAUAACGAUAAUGUAUUCCUUCUAUUGUAGAUUCAUCUUUAUACGGCGAGAACUCGGCGUUCCUGAGUACCACAAAAUAUUGACUAUUAUAUUUUCAAAUGUUAGAAUCAUUGCUUACCAAGAUAGAAUGUGGCCUUACCUGUAGUACAGGAGAUCUUCACGAUUAACAUAAUAUUGUGUUAAACGGAAAGGAUACAUAUGGAUUUCUGAUAAUCCAUCAAGACGAACCAUGUCAUAGAAACAUAAUACUCUUUCGCUAAAUACGAAUGAACUAUUGUCGUGAUUAUAAUAGCGAUGUUCUAAAAAUUCUCUAUUAAUUAGAAAAUAUUAUGGAGUUGAAAGAAAAUCUAUUUAGGUAUCAAUUACCUUUACAUGCAUCAGAGCGACCCCUUUCAUAGUAAUCGAUAAUAUAAUUGGUAUUCAAGUUUCUUCGUGAUUUUACUAAAUUAUCGUUCCUAUUAGCAUAUUUUUCAUAAAUUUCAAUCGGAGUUGUAUACUCAUAAUCAUCAUAUAUUGUUAGUUUUUCUAUUAUUCCAUCUGAUUGCGUAUAAGGAGCAUACAAAUCUACUUUAACUUUCUUGUAAAAUAUUGUCUUAUGACCUCGAGGAUAUCGCCUCUCAAAAUCUAUAAACGGAGCAACUUUGUAUUAUAUUGUGUUGUUGGAGAGAAAAAAAAAGGAUACAAAUCUCCAUAAGAAAGUAAUGAAACAAAUCGCAUAUAAAAUCAUAAAAAUAUUAUAGGGUCAAUCGAUAUAAUUACCUAAACUAUUUAUGUAUAUUUCAUUUACAUAAGAGGAGGGCAUAUCUAAGUGUUUCUCCCGCUCUAUCUCAAUAUUUAAUUCUUCGUUUAGAUCAUCCUCAACGUCACGCAUAAUCCAUGAUUCGCCAGGAAGUAGAUGCUCCCAUAGCUCCGUUAGAGUUAAAUUCCAAUUUAUUUUGUCACAACCAAUCGUCAAAUCCUGCUGCAUAUUUAUCCAAUAAUUUUCAUCAUUCCAGAUACUUUCUACACCUAGGUAUAAAAGAUUAGUUUGAGGAUCGAGCAGAUCAUACAUUUCUCCGGAGGAGGGCUCGAUAAAGAAUGGAUUUGUAACUUGUCUUUCUUUCAUAUUAUUAAGAGCAGGUAAGACGACGACCCAUGCAUGAACUCUAUGUCCAUAAUAUUUAUCUGGUGGUGGUUUUUCCAAUUCCUAAACAUCAUGCUAAAUAUAGAACUGUUAUUACGCAUUUUUUCUAUCGAAAAAAAAAAAAAAAAAAAAAAAAAGAAAAGAAAAAAAAAUACAUACAAUUAUAAUUCUAGCUUGCUUUUCUUCUUCCUCUUGAACUUCAGUUUCCAAUUUAAGCUUUUCUCUGGCAUCCAGUUUCAAUAAAAAUUUGCUUCUAAAAUCCGCAGGAGGUUUCAAAUUAUAUAUUAAAUUAACAUCUUCUUCUUUCGACAGUUUUAAUUCUUUCAAAUCUUCCGGUAAAUACGGGCAGGAGAUUUUGGUCCUAUUGUAUUGAACUUGUUCGCGGGAUGCAUAGCCAAAAACUACAAAUGCAUUAUAUCCUUGUCCUAAUAGGAGACUCGUCAAGAACGUUGCACACUCGAAACUAUUACCGCUGCGAAAAUUGAUUAACCACGAUGGGGAGCGUAGGAUUGCUGGCUGAGAAAUAAUAAAUUAAUGAAGAAU